AGCGAACGCUGGCGGCAGGCCUAACACAUGCAAGUCGAACGACCUCUUCGCAUUUAGUGGCGGUCGGGUGGGUAACCCGGAGGAACGUGCCUUUUGGUUCGGACUAACUCUGGGAAACUGGUGCUAAUACCGAAUGUGCCCUUCGGGGGAAAGAUUUCUCGCCAUUAGGGCGGCCCGCGUCUGAUUAGCUAGUGGGUGAGGUUACGGCUCACCAAGGCGACCUUCAGUAUGUGGUCUGGGAGGAUGACCAGACACACUGGAACUGAGACCCGGCCCAGACUCCUAGGGGAGGAAGCAGUGGGGGAACGUGCGCAAGGGGCGAAAGCAUGACGAAGCCAGGCCGGGUGAAUGAUGAAGGUCUUAGGAUUGUAAAGUUCUUUCACCGGGGACGAUAAUGACGGUACCCGGAGAAGAAGCCCCGGCUAACUGCGUG
rnacentral:rRNA from 1 species